CCUGGCCAACUUCCGUGUAUUGCUCUUUUGCUGCCCACACUCAAGCAGAGCGUUCAUGGUCGUUGCCGUUCCGUCGGCGGAGAGAGGAUUGGCAUUUUGGUGAGCAGUGACAUCGAGGGAACGCUGGGAUAUCCACUCCACAGCGUUUUAGGUCAGGUUUUAUUCUGGGACGAGUCCACGGACCAGUCCAAGGAUUCCGGUUCCAGUGUUCCACUGGAUGGCGAGCUAACCAAGAAGUCUGGAACGAGAUACACACAUACACACAAUUGCACACUGAUGGACUGCGAUUCCCUGCUGCAACGUCUGAAGCGAUGCAUAUUUCAGUCCUAACAGCCGGCAGCACGCCCAAAAUUGAAUGCUGCAAGACAUGCUGCAAACAAGUCCACUGUCCGCUGUGCCUAAAGUUUAAACCUGCCGAACUGUCCAAGCUGCAGAGCCACUUGGAGGCACACAAAAAAGGUGGCAUUUCAUUUAAAGAUAAAAUUAUAUGCAGAUGUGGACUGAACUGCAGGGAUCAGGGACACUACCAUUGUCCUGUGUGCAGUAAAACUGUUUUGAGAAGGACAGACAUGACCAAACACUUGGAGGUUUGCCAGCGUGCCAUGACUGCUGCCUCUCCAGAAAAGACCUCUCCUCCUACCCACAAAAAUGGUUGUUGCUAGAGGUACGGACCCGUACCCGUAGCCUGUGGACUACGGAUACGGCACUUGCCAUUUGCCAAUCAGAUACGCAGGAUCUGGUCACGUGACUCCCGGUAGACGCUAGCUGUACGGACCCGUAGCAUCGGUACGACAGGUACGGACCCUAAACCUGACCCUAACACUAACCCUAACCUUAACCUUUGCUUACCUUUCAACAGUUUGCAGUGGUUAGCAGCUUCUUGACUCGCGAGACUCGAGUACGGGUCCGUAUCUGUCUGGCAAAUGGAAAGUGCCAUACCCGUAGCCUGUGGGCUACGGAUACGGACCCGUAUCCGUAGACACUACCCACAAAAAUACAGCUGCAGAGUCCACCUCGGUCUUGAUGCCGGAUCUCUCCUCUUCCAGUUCACCUUCAGCAGAGCAACAAACCUCAACUGCCACACCUCUGUCCACGCUCCUGCAAGCCACAGUCUCAACCUCUCAAGAUUUGCAAGAUACAGCUGCAGUGCCCUCCUUGGUUUUACCUGCUGCCACAGAGAAAAGACGUUCAAGAUUAUCCCUGAAAAAGGAUAAAUGCCCUCAUUGUAACCAGACAAUCUACAAAAAAAAAUGGUCACACAUAUCCAGAGAAAACACAGUGGAAAAUCAAAGGACAUAAACGUUAAGAAUCACUUCAUGAGUGUCUGUGUCGAUGCCACCAAUGGCAUUUCUGCAGUGCAGAAAACAAGGCAUGGGUUUUAGACUGAAGCAAAAACUGGAUGACAUGACUGAGGCUGAGGAGAGGAAGAAAAUGUGCCACCAGGUAGAGACAAUGGAACCAGCUCACCAGGUGGAGACAACUGAAGAAGAGACCAGUAUGGUGGGCCAAGUUGUGGCCCACUGCAAACAAGCAGCGGAAUGGGUGCAGGGGAACCCACAACUGUUUACAGCCAGGGUGGAGAUGCCAGAAAUUUGAAACAUGGACAGCAGAUCUAUUGAGGAGGCUCAACAGCAACUGGCAGACUUGUUCGAUGCCACCCAGGACAUUGAUGAUGAUGAGAGAGAAUUCAUUCUGGAGCCCUUCAAGUUUUUCUUUUACAACAUUGAGGAUAUGUUUGUCUUCUGUGAAGAGGUUAUGGAUAACCGACGCUACAUGGCAUAUUGUGAAUUCAAAGACAAAUAAAACGUUUGAAAGUU